ACUGGUUUCUUCUGGUGUUCAGAGUCAUGGUUCAGUUCUAGCACCAUUUGAAAUCGGUUA
rnacentral:pre_miRNA from 1 species